rnacentral:rRNA from 1 species
AUCUGGUUCAGGAUAAACGCUGGCGGCGUGCUUAACACAUGCAAGUCGAACGGAGUGGGUUCUCCCGAGGAUUGACGGUGCUUGCACCUGAUUGACUCAUUGAAUCGCUUAGUGGCGGACGGGUGAGUAACGCGUGGGUAACCUGCCCUAUACUGGGGGACAGCAGUUGGAAACGACUGAUAAUACCGCAUAAGCGCACAGGACCGCAUGGUCCAGUGUGAAAAAACUCCGGUGGUAUAGGAUGGACCCGCGUCUGAUUAGCUAGUUGGCGAGGUAACGGCCCACCAAGGCGACGAUCAGUAGCCGGCCUGAGAGGGUGUACGGCCACAUUGGGACUGAGACACGGACCCAAACUCCGUACGGGAGGCAGCAGGUGGGGAAUAUUGGACAAUGGGGGAAACCCUGAUCCAGCGACGCCCGCGUGAGCGAUGAAGUAUUUCGGUAUGUAAAGCUCUAUCAGCAGGGAAGAUAAUGACGGUACCUGACUAAGAAGCACCGGCUAAAUACGUGCCAGCCGCAGC